rnacentral:rRNA from 1 species
UACAGAGGUCCCGAGCGUUGUUCGGAUUUAUUGGGCGUAAAGGGUGCGUAGGCGGCGGAGUAAGUUGGGUGUGAAAUCCCCGGGCUUAACCUGGGAAUGGCAUUGAGGACUGCACGGCUAGAGUGUGGCAGAGGGGGGUGGAAUUCCGCGUGUAGCAGUGAAAUGCGUAGAGAUGCGGAGGAACACCGAUGGCGAAGGCAGCCCCCUGGGCUAACACUGACACUCAUGCACGAAAGCGUGGGGAGCAAACAGG